rnacentral:tRNA from 1 species
GGCUCUGUAGCUCAGUUGGUUAGAGCGCUGCACCGGAAUCGCAGGGCCGUAGGUUCAAUUCCUACCAGAGGACCU